AUGAAUUAAAAUAAAAGGCACUCUGAUGAAUACUUUGGUGAAACUGUCCAGCUAUAUAUUCAUAUCAAUCAUUUUAUUUUCUCCAUUUCAAUUCUCAGAUAUGUUGAUGACCAAAAAAUCCAGACGGCUCACAAGAAAAGAUGCCCACCGCAAACCUUCAUAUGGCAACCAGAACACACUGAGAGAAGAGGGUUCAUCUGUUAUGGUAAGAGACAGAAAUGAAGAUUGUGAAUAUUGAAGUGGAUCACUAAAGUUUGUUUUCCGCAUAUCUGUUUCUGCCGUUUCAGAAC